rnacentral:lncRNA from 1 species
AACAGGCUAUUAUUUGAACUUGGAAUUAUUUUUAAUUAUGGAAUUCGCAUAAUUUCUUGUGUUUAAAUUUUUUUAUAAAUUCCAUGUUUAUUUUGUAUUAUCAUCUUUUGAGCGGUUAAUAACACUUUCCAUACAAUGUAUUUUGGUUAGAUAGUGUUGUGCGCGGCACAGUACAUUCUAUUGAAAAUAUACUAUUUUCUUUGUAAUAGAAAGUGUUGUGCGCAGCACAGAACAUUUCAGUACAGAAUAAUCAUGGAAUUUAUUAAAAAUUUCAAUAACAAGAAAUCAAGCAAAUUCCAUAGUUAAAAAUAAUUCCAAGUUUAAAUAAUAGACUGUUACAAGCUUUGUAAAUAAGAUUGACAUCUUUAAACAAUAUGUAUAGGCAUAGUUUAACCUGAAUAUAUUAUAUUUGAAUUUAAUUUGGUGUUAUCCUAUGAUAAACGCUUAAUCCAACUGAACUAAAAUUGUUUGUACAUGUUUGUGUCUAAACGAGCAUAAUACUUGCAACUGGACUAUAAGCAAUUUCAGUCAAAAGUCGAUUUAUAUGUUACAGAUUAAAUUUGCAAUAACAACCGGCAUUGAACCAACUAAUACUAAUAAAUGAUCACUUCAUCAACUGUGUCCCCCAUUAUAAAAUUGCUGUAAACGUUAUUUAUUUUAUUCAUGUAUUAGCGCUAAAAGACGUGAGACGUCCUGGCGUUAAAUAGUGGACACGUUUUGGCGAAUAACAAUUAUCGGACACGUUUGGGGGUUAUAAAAUCAGACACGUUUGGGGAAUAUUGGAUAUUACGGACACGUUUAGGGAGAAUAGACACGUUUGGGG